GACGAACGCUGGCGGCGUGCUUAACACAUGCAAGUCGAACGGAAAGGCCCUGCUUUUGUGGGGUGCUCGAGUGGCGAACGGGUGAGUAACACGUGAGUAACCUGCCCUUGACUUUGGGAUAACUUCAGGAAACUGGGGCUACUACCGGAUAGGAGCUCCUGCUGCAUGGUGGGGGUUGGAAAGUUUCGGCGGUUGGGGUUGGACUCGCGGCUUAUCAGCUUGUUGGUGGGGUAGUGGCUUACCAAGGCAUUGACGGGUAGCCGGCCUGAGAGGGUGACCGGCCACAUUGGGACUGAGAUACGGCCCAGACUCCUACGGGAGGCAGCAGUGGGGAAUAUUGCACAAUGGGCGGAAGCCUGAUGCAGCAACGCCGCGUGCGGGAUGACGGCCUUCGGGUUGUAAACCGCUUUCGCCUGUGACGAAGCGUGAGUGACGGUAAUGGGUAAAGAAGCACCGGCUAACUACGUG
rnacentral:rRNA from 1 species